rnacentral:lncRNA from 1 species
CCCCGAGUCCUAAGGGGAGAGGGUGUAUAUGAUGCCCCCGAUGGAGGGCGGGCUAAUGAGGGUACAGGAUCAAGAAAGACGUCAAAUCCCUGUUAAAUGUGGCAGCAACAACACUGCAGAAGCUCAAGCAACAUUUUUUGGUAUUGACUGGUGCAGUGGUUUCACCAUUGAACUGGAUUCACUUUUGGUUAUCAACAUAUCAAAAGAUAUAAUAAGACUGCCAACUUCAAGGUGAAGAAUAUCAUUGAAGACUUUUCCCAAAUGAUGAACCAAGCAAAUGUUACAGGCUACAGCUAACAACUGCUCGUGCUACAGAGAAACAAAUCAAGUUGCAGACGUCCUAGCUAAGCUUACUACUAAGAAUUUGCUAGGAAGAAGUAGUAAGGCUAAGUAAUAGAAUUUGCAAGACUUCUUUCAUGGAAGACCUAGCAGAAGGGAUAGUACUGGUCCAAAUAAGCCCCAACUUGAACAUGGAACUCAUUUCGUUCAAGAAACAUGCUUCCUUGAUUUCUUCAUCAAUAGCAUCAACCACUAGAUUGCCUUCUUCAUGGUGGUUCCAUGCCCAUUGUGCAAGGUUUAUAUGCUCGUCUCCAUUAAUUGGUUCUCUCCCGGUAACCAGCUCCAAUAACACCACACCAAAGCUGUAGACAUCAAUCUUGUCAUUCACUUUCAACGUGUAUGCAUACUCUGAAAUUCCAAUUAGAAUAACCAGGUAUUAGGAUAAAAUCAAUUAGAAACACAAUACAUGCGUACACUCUGGUGUGUUGUUGUUUAUUUCAAUAUGAGAACAGUGAAAUAUACCUGGAGCUAGGUAACCAAACGUGCCAGCGAUAGCAGAAGCAGUCUCUGUCUCUCCCUACUUAGCCAAAAUCGCACAUUCAGUUCAUGGUCUAAAAGGAUAUUACUACACUUAUGUCACGAUGAAUGAUUGGCGGGGAGCACUCGUGAUGCAUGUAACAUAGGCCUCGGGCAGCACCAACUGCAAUUUGCAGUCUAGUACACCAUUCCAAGACACAAUGUGCUGAAGCAGUAAUAGCUAUUCCGAAGACUCUCAAUCAACGAGUCCAAUCCAUACUUAUGAGACUCCUUACAUUUUGAAUAGGUAUCAGAUUGCUACUCAAACUUAACAAAAAUCUCUGAAAAAUUCAUUCAGACAAUUUAUCAAACAGUUAAAGUGCACCAUUUUACUUAAUAAUUUUUAGCACUCUAGGUUUAUUUUUUGGCCUCCAAAAAUUCAUAAUUGUAAUUUGCUACUAUGACAAUCACAAUACACAAAGUAUCCUGUUUUUUCAUUAGUAUUUGACAACUUAAAGCACAAAGACACUUCAAACUAAAGAAAAUAAGUAAAAGUUCAUUGAUUCUCAUGUCUUUCCAUAUGUAUGGGCUGCUCUGAAAUAAUUUUGCAACAAAAACAUUAGUUUUCUCUAGUGAUUUCCAUAUUGACUUGAGCAUCUCACCAAUAAUAUGCAAAUUCUUGUUUGUAAAGUGUUGAACCUUGAUAUCUUCGCUAAAUUGAGGAAGAAGAAUUGGUAGUCGUUCUAGUAUAUGAAAUUUCAGCACAUAUCUUGAACAAUUUUUCCUUUGAUUGGAAUAUAAGGGCAUGAAUUUUAAAAAUUUAGAUUAGGGUUUUUUUGAGAAGAAAGAGGAGAAGAGCGUAGUAAUCUUUUUCCUAAAAUUGGAUUUGUUUUCACUUUCCUCUUAUUCUAUACUAGUAAAAUUAAUCGCGCUUCGCGUGGAAAUUUAAUAUCACGAAAUAUAUAAAAUAAUACUUAAAGUCUAUCCGUCACUAAAAGUAAAACACUAUAUUAUCUCACAUAAAAGAUUAAUAAUGUAAAGAAAAAUGAAAAUUAUUACAUCUUAUUAUUUAUCUUUAAUAACAUAAGCAAUGGUGUCACUGUGCCACUCAACAUGAGUAAAGUACACAAAUAUUUAAUUGUGAAGAAAAAGAAGAGUUCAGAAUUUUCAUUGUUUUAAAAUGAGAGGAAAUCUCUCUAUUUAUAGACAACAAAUGGUAGUGUGAACAAAUGUUAUUGUGCCUUAUCGGAAAGGUUACAACUAUUUGGAAAAGUUGCAAUUCUUCAUAAAGGUCAAAACCUUUAAUAAAAGUCACAACUUUUUCUAAAAGUCGUAACUUUCAUAAAAGUCACAACUUUUCAUAAAAAUCGCAAUUCUUCGUAAAAGUCGCAACUCUUCAUUAAAGUCACAACUUUUCAUAAAUGUCACAACUUUUCAUGAAAGGGGAAGGCUAAUUUUGUAAAUAAAUAAAUUUAAAGUGAAUUCUGGUUUGUGGUGGCACCACGUAGACAGGCCUAAGGUUCUCUUAUAUAUAUAUAUAUAAUUAUAAUUUAUUUUUAUUAUUUUUAAAAUCUAGAUGUAUUUAUUUUAGUUAAGUUGGCAGCAAUUGAGUGGUUCACUUAUCCACAUCGAGAAUUUGUAUAUCACGUGUUUUGCCUGAAAUAUUCAACUGUUUUUUUGUUUAAAUUUUGGAUAGUUAAAGUGUUUCUUUAUGCACUAUCAAAGUUAAAGAUCAAAGUUAUAAUUGAACAAAAUUAAAUUAAAAAGUCAUUUAAAUUGGUUGAGUGACUUUUUAAGUGAAAUAUACCUAGUUAAGUAAUUUUGAAGUUAUAAAAGAAAGUUAAGUGAGGAAAAUCCUUGAUUGAGUGACUUUCGGUGAAAAAGAAUUGUUAGUUGAAUGAGUUUGUUGUUAGUAAGUAGUAACUACCUCAUUAUUCUCUACAAUCUCUUGUUUUAAAUUACCAAUCGUGUAUCAUACAACACAAGUCAGUCAACAUGGACAAAAACUGUAACCGACUAUGAAUGAGAAAUGCUAGCAAAGUUGACUUGUUAAUUGGUACACAUCCUAUUCCAGUCCCCACCCAAAUGGCGUUGCAUUAUCCUUUUGUUUUCCUUGCUGUUUCACGGGUCAGCUACUAGGUUGACUUGAUCGUUCGUGUUCCACACAAAUUUUAUCAUUGAAAUAUGACUUCUUUAUAAAUUCAUAAUGACUUCAGUCUUCAUUACCAUAUGAAAAGAAACACAAGGGAAGCAUCAUUUUUAAUAUGCUCCAAUCAAGAUCUAACCGUUUUUUGCUUAAUUUGCAAAUCUUCUUCCUAAUUAGCCUGUUUUUCCAAGAAACCUUACAAUUUUCGGUCAGGGAACAGUCCAUAUUACUAAGCUUGAAACGACACUGGAGGGAUUCCGAGUUCCUCCAGUCAUGGGACUUGAAUUCUUCAGCAUGCACUUGGUCAGGAGUUUUGUGCAUCGAUGACCGGGUAGUGACUCAACUAAAUCUUGGAGAAAAGAACAUUACUGGAAAAAUUCCAUCAACAAUAAUAUGUCAGCUCAAGAACCUUAACUUCAUUGAUCUCUCCAACAACAACAUUUCAGGAACUAUUCCAGUAGGCCUGAAAGAUUGCUCAAUGUUACAACAUUUGGACUUGUCCAAUAAUUCUUUGAUCGACCGGAUUCCAGGUGAGUUGUUUGGGAUGAAACAGUUACUCAGUUUGUAUCUUAAUGGUAACAUGUUGUCUGGUGAGAUGCCAAAACAAAUAUCAUCUCAACUGGAAAAUCUUGAUCUUUCUGAGAAUCACUUGAACGGUUCGAUACCAGAAGAUAUUGGAAACUUCAAAAAUCUUUUGAAAUUGGAUCUGUCACAUAAUUCUCUCAGUGGUUCAAUUACAAGCAAGUUGUUUCAGUUGCAUGAUUUGCGUCACCUGUCGCUAAGUUCCAACUACUUGUCCGGUGUGAUACCUGAUGAAAUGGACUUGUUUAGUUUAUACGAUAUGGAUCUUUCACAUAACCAAUUGACUGGUUCUAUACCAAAGGGAUUUCAGUAUUUACCUGGACUGCAUGCCCUGGAUUUGUCUUAUAAUCAGUUAUCAGGAGACAUUUCAAAAAGUAUAGAAUAUCUUAGGCCUAGAAAUACUUUAAGGCUUUGUUCCAACAAAUUCUCAGGAAGAAUUUCUUCUGAAUUUGUUAAGCUAACAUAUGAAGUGAAUUGCUUUGAUGAGUCCAAUCUUUGUUCUACAUCCAACAACCGAAAACUUUUGAGAUCACAACACUUGAUUAUUCCUAUUGUAGGAGUGGGGUUGGCUAUACAGUUAUCAUGGAUCUUUUACAGAACAAGAAAGCAUUGGUGGAAAACAAAGAAGCAGAAUGUCAAAGAUGACAUGAAGUUCAUUUCAUUUCAGAAGUUGAAGGUGACUACAGAAGACAUUUUGUCUAGCUUGAAAGACAAAAACAUAAUAGGAAAUGGAGGAUCAGGGAAGGUCUAUCGAGUUGUGAUAGACCAAACAGGCAAUACUUAUGCUGUUAAAAGCAUAGGGCAUGGAGAAAAAUCAGGUGGAAGACCCCAAAAGGAGUUCCUGGUAGAAGUUAGAACCCUUGGUAGCAUUCGACACAACAACAUUGUCAAGCUCAUCUGUUGCAUCUCAAGUUUAGACAGAAAGCUUCUAGUCUAUGAAUACUUUGAGAAACAAAGCCUCGACAAAUGGCUUCACAGAAAGAAAAGUGUAGUAUCAUCGGGUCAAAGUAGUACCCCGGCCCUGGAUUGGCAAAAGAGAUUAAAAAUAGCCACUGGUGCAGCGCAAGGACUCUGCUAUAUGCACCACGACUGUACUCGAUCCAUCAUUCAUAGAGACAUUAAGUCCAGCAAUAUCCUUCUGGACUCAGAAUUCAAUGCAAAAAUAGCAGAUUUUGGACUAGCAAAAAUACUAUCCAGGAGGGAUGAUAAUCCUGAGACAGUUUCUGCUAUUGCUGGAACAUUUGGUUACAUUGCACCAGGUAUAUUACAGUUUAAAUAUCUAUUGUACCUCGAGAAUUUCACAAAAGAAUUAUACUCCAAUAUUAAAUUUUAAUGUUUGGUCCUCACAGAGUAUGCCUCGACAUUUAGAGUGAAUAUAAAGACAGAUAUCUAUAGCUUCGGAGUGGUGCUAUUGGAAUUAACAACAGGGAGGCAACCCAUUCUCAGAGAGGACCAAAUGAAUCUAGCACAAUGGGCUCAACAGCGUUACAGAGAUGGGAAUUUCAUUGUUGCCCUUGAUGAAGAAAUCAUGGAAACAAGUAAUGUGGAACAAAUGAGAGGUGUUUUUAAACUAGGACUAAUGUGUACCGGAGCAUCACCAUCUAGUAGGCCGUCAAUGAAGGAGGUCUGCAACAUUCUUCAAAGUCUCAGAGACCCCAUAUUUUGAGAGAAUAGAAUGUUUCGCCUUACAUAGAUAAAUGUAGUUGUAUUUUUUUUAACAGAAUGAGAAAGUCGUGUUGAUAACGAUUUCUUCCAGCAAUGUAUACUUUAGUAAUACUGUCAGAGGACAUUUUUUAUCCUCAGACAGAUCAAUAGCCUCAUCUGGUUUAAGUGGUGUCAAACACAAGGGCUUGUAAGCUUUACCUUAGAAUGUGAUUCCUUGUUCAUACUUGAGAUGUCGCGAGGCAAGAGCUAAGUGUCGUGGCAAUUACAGUGUAUAUAUAUAUAUAUAUCUUUUUUUUAAUUCUUCAGAACUCUCCAAGGAAGCUUUUGGAACAUACAGGUUUGAUGAACUGCAAAUGCCUUCUUUCAAACAUAAAUCCUUCUCAUGAUAAUCUUGUAGGAAGUCUAGUUCUUGUGGCAGAGGUUGUAGCGGCUGGGGAUUAUCCUGGGGUUCCCAAAAAAUAAAAAAUAAAAAUUCUAACAGUUUUACACAAUUGAUAAAAGCUAAAACCAUUGAUUAGAUAUUCAUUAAUGGUCUAGGCUAACUUAUAUGAUUGGAAAAAUGAAAUGUUCCUAUAAGCGAUCAAGUUUUUCUACUCGUUAAUUCUUUUGGUACUUGUUUUAAUUAGUUUGUUAGAAUUGUUCUGACCCUCAGUGAUACUCCUGAUGGAGCAGGGUCAAGUAGGACUAACAGACUUCUAGGUUCACAAGCUUCAGAAGAUGAGGUGAACAUGACAUCUUAGGCGAAGAAAGUGAGGAGCCCCGAGUCCUAAGGGGAGAGGGUGUAUAUGAUGCCCCCGAUGGAGGGCAGGUUAAUGAGGGUACAGGAUCAAGCAAGAUGUCAAAUCCAUGUUAAAUGUGGCAGCAGCAACACUGCAGAAGCUCAAGCAACAUUUUUUGGUAUUGAUUGGUGCAUCCAAAAUGGAUUCAGUGGUUUCACCAUUAAACUGGAUUCACUUUUGGUUACCAGCAUAUUAAAAAAGAUGAUAAGACUGCCAACUUCAAGCUGAAGAUUAUCAUUGAAGACGUUUCCCAAACGAUGAACCAAACCAAUGUUAUUGGCUACCGUUAACAACUGCACUGCUACAAAGAGGCAAAUCAAGUAGCAAACGUCCUUCCAAUAAGGCAAUGGUAUACCUCUCCUUCCAACAACUUCCUAGAGGUUCUAAAGGACCUUUCCAUUUAGAUAGAUGUCAGAUACCUGGUAUAUAUUAGGACAAAAUUUGAUAAGGACAACUUUUUCGUUUUGUUGAGACCGUUAUUGACUGUUCUAUGGAAAAGGACUAACAAGUGUAUUCUCCAUAAUCUAUAAUCUGACCCAUUUUAUGAGUUAAUUAGACUGUUGGAUAGAGAAGAAAAAUCAGAAAAAUAAAAGAGUUGAUUCAUCACCUCACUAGAAAAGAAGGUAGAAUAAGUAUUUGGACUUUUAAUUUUUCAGUGCAAAUAAAGAAGCAACGAUAAUCCUGGAUUCGCAGCCAAUUGCUAGGAAGAAGUAUUAAGGCUAAGUAAUAGAAUUUGCAGAACUUCCUUCAUGGAAGGUCUAGCAGAAGGUACAGUACUGGUGCAAAUAAUCCCCAACUUGAACAUGGAACUCAUUUCGUUCAAGAAACAUGCUUCCUUGAUUUCUUCAUCAAUAGCAUCAACCACUGGAUUGCCUUCUUCAUGGUGGUUCCAUGCCCUUUGUGCAAGGUUUAUAUGCUCGUCUCCGUUAAUUGGUUCUCUCCCGGUAACCAGCUCCAAUAACACCACACCAAAACUGUAGACAUCAAUCUUGGCAUUCACUUUCGACGUGUAUGCAUACUCUGAAAUUCCAA